AAACGGGGUGCUGCAAAUGCGGCUGAGAUUGACCGAAGCGGUCAGAACCCGAGAACCUGAUCCGGAUAAUGCCGGCGUAGGAAAAAGGCGAAUUC
rnacentral:ncRNA from 1 species